rnacentral:rRNA from 1 species
GACGAACGCUGGCGGCGUGCUUAACACAUGCAAGUCGAACGAAGUGGCGAACGGGUGAGUAAUGCGUAAUCAACCUGCCCUUCAGAGGGGGACAACAGUUGGAAACGACUGCUAAUACCGCAUACUGAAGGAGGGGAGUGCGUCUGAUUAGCUAGUUGGAGGGGGAACGGCCCACCAAGGCGAUGAUCAGUAGGCGGUCUGGGAGGGUGAACGGCCACCAUGGGACUGGGGCACCGCCCAGACUCCUACGGGAGGCAGCAAGGGGGAAACUUCCGCAAUGGACGGAAGUCUGACGGAGCAACGCCGCGUGGGUGAUGACGGCCUUCGGGUUGUAAAGCUCUGUUAAUCGGGACGCGGUACCGGAAUAGAAAGCCACGGCUAACUACGUGCCAGCAGCCGCGGUAAUUC